AUGGGAAGCAGCAGAAGGAUGUCCUGACCUAGCAUGGACGACAUUCGAGCUGGCAGUAGUGUUACAGUGGAAUGACUUUCAGGUGUCUGUUGAUGACAAUUUGGUGUUCACUCUGAAGAUCCCCAAACCGAAACCAGUGAACGCUCUCACAGUGGCAGGAGAUGUUGAACUCAGGGAAAUUUACAUAGCGUGAUAUAUUUCAAGAUACCACGCUCAUAACUGUUAAUUGUCCAACAAUUCGAUUUGUCUUAUAGAUGACACUCAAUGCUUUUGUUUAUUGUUCCAAGGACACGGUGUAACUAUAGUAAACAAUAUUACAACUGAGAAAGACAUAAAAUGUUUUACAAGCGUUACAGGAUUAUGAAACAAUGUCCAUGUCUUUAUUUUAAACAUUGGCUUGAAAAUGGAA
rnacentral:lncRNA from 1 species